GGAUCAGAGAUGGACCGGACAAGGAUCUGGUGGAAGUCUCGGGAGUGUUUUUCCUCUGAUGCUGACAAGGUAAUCUUCCAGCGGGUUCUCAGAAAGUGAGUGGAGCAGCCGCAGAAGCUUUUUUCCAACUCUGACGCUACCCAUAAUCCUCGCUGGCUGCUCCUCUCACAUCAUUUUGGCAGUGCGUCACCUGGAGACUGAUGAUCCUGACAACGUCACCUGUCCCCAUCUGUAACACUAAUGUCCCUGUCAGGUGAUGCCAACAGAAAACAUAAAUCAGCACCUCUGCCGGGCUGCUAAUGGGACAUCUCCUAAUGUAUGUAUAUCUCCCCUCAGAUUCAUUCUGUGAGCGUGGAACAUAUGCUAAUCACGCCGCCGUGUCCGUGAGGCACGAGGCUUCAAAGUCAGACACAAAUCUAAAAUUUAGAUAUUUUCAAUUUUGUUCUGUUUGGUUUCUUUUCAUUUUUAAAGGAGCUCUGGUGUCACACUCAGACUUAUCUGUAAGGUUUUUCUGUAUCUUUGAAAUGAGCCGAGAAGGAGAGCGAGGUGAGCUCUGAUGUUCCAGACAAGAAGAAAAGGAAAAAGCACGCUCCUCUGUCAGGGUAAAAAUGACUGCUGUCACCUUUUCAAACACAGUUUUCUGUGUCUUAUAAACUCUAAAAAAAACAAAUGCAGACUUUCA